GACGUAGGGCGCGAGCGUUUGUCCGGAUUUAUUGGGCGUAAAGAGCUCGUAGGCGGUCUGUCGCGUCUGCUGUGAAAAUCCAGGGCUCAACCCUGGACCUGCAGUGGGUACGGGCAGACUAGAGUGCGGUAGGGGAGAUCGGAAUUCCUGGUGUAGCGGUGAAAUGCGCAGAUAUCAGGAGGAACACCGGUGGCGAAGGCGGAUCUCUGGGCCGUAACUGACGCUGAGGAGCGAAAGCAUGGGGAGCGAACAGG
rnacentral:rRNA from 1 species